rnacentral:rRNA from 1 species
UACGUAGGGUGCGAGCGUUAAUCGGAAUUACUGGGCGUAAAGCGUGCGUAGGCGGUUCGUUAAGUUCGUUGUGAAAUCCCCGGGCUCAACCUGGGAACUGCAUUUGUGACUGCAUCGCUGGAGUGCGGCAGAGGGGGAUGGAAUUCCGCGUGUAGCAGUGAAAUGCGUAGAUAUGCGGAGGAACACCGAUGGCGAAGGCAAUCCCCUGGGCCUGCACUGACGCUCAUGCACGAAAGCGUGGGGAGCAAACAGG